CUAUGGAACCCAUUAAGUCUAAGUAACUUUAAAAUCAACCUCCACCGUCGGAUUUGGCUUUGAUUAAAUCUCAGCCAUUUAAACUCAAAAAAUAACCACCGUAGUGGCGGUUCUCAGCAGUUCUGGGCGGUUCCCAUCGUCCCCUUUUAUCUCCCCCACUUCGCCAACGGUUUCAUACUUUCAUCACGUCUUCCCAUCUUGCCAACUCCACCUCCCCAUUACCCCACGUACAAGGGUUUCAUAUUAAUGAUGGAGAUAGGGUUAAUUAAUUUUGCAAACAGAAGUCUCCAUUCCCCUCCAAUAUGACUACACAUAUUAUGAUCAACAAUGAGGUCUUACUCUUUUAGCUCAAAGAGAUCGAUGCGACAGACUGACGAAAGGAGAGUGCGUCGUCUCGGUUGCGGAUAGCGUCGUGUGUAGCGCGAGUGACAUGGAGGAUCGCGGUGGAGCUUUGUUUCUCGAUUAAAUAGUGAGGAUUUCAUUAUCAUUAGGGCUGGAUUCAACGAAUAGGAAUAAGAAGGGUCAAAAGUCAACAUUUGGGAUGUGUAUGGUUUCAGAUGCUCCUUCAGCAUAUAACCACUUCCAGGCCUCAAAUCGAAAGCUAGAAGGAAAUGAAGUCCAGAAGCGAUUGGGGAAGAAAUAUUCAAUUCAAUCAUCAAUUAACGCACGUUGUUCUCAGUCAUUCAUCAUCAUCAGGUAACCUAAGGUAACCUAACUGACUCGCCAUUUCAAAAUUUUAUCGAUUAUUAUCUUGAAGUUGUAUAUGGUUGGGUUUGCAAUACUCUUGGAAACCUAUUUUGAAAUUACUAUUUUGGAAAAGUAAUUGGCAAAUGGGUUGGAGAAGGAAAACCUACGGCUGUCCAAGUUCUAGACCAGUGGGUUGGAAAAGGAAAUCCUUCGAUCAACCAGAUCUCCACAAGAUAACUAAACACGUUUGGAAAUUUUGUCUCUCCAGGUUCUAUUCUACUAUGUCUCUUUAGUUAGUGAACAUGAUAUAUUUUAUUUCAAUUCAUAAGGUGUUUGAUUCCAUGUUACAUUCCUCAUUGCUUUGAUAUGGAAGUUUGACUUCUCCCUAUUUAUCGUUAUUAUUAUUGCAAUUCUCAAUAAUGGUGAGUUUUCUAAUAAUAUUGUACAUGAUCCUUAACAUUUUGAUUAGCUUACUUUGAUCCUUAUUCUUUUCGUUUAUGUUUUGCAGGGAUAAUCAUGACAAUCUCAAAGAACAUGGUGAAAACUAUUUAGAUAGCUGGAAGCUAAAAGAGAUCUUUGCUACUAGAGUCUAGAGUUGUACUUCGUGGUUACUUAAGCUUCAACGAUAGUUAUUCUUCUGGAUCAUGAAGGAUACCGACUUUAGCUUGGGAUUAAUUUAGAGUUAAAUCUCUGAGGACAACUGAGCCCGAGAUGAUGGCUGCUUUAUAUUUGCAAGUCAGUAUUUUGAGCCAAGCUCUAAUCUUUGUCACUUGCUCUUGAUUGUUGGCCAUAUAUGGAACGACCUGGGUUCUUACUAAUGGGUACUUUCCUAGUAGCCCAAUUGGUAAAUAUGUUUUCUUUUUCAGUUUUUAAGCUGUCAAAAUUUAAGAUUCUUAGUGGAAUGUAGCAUAAUCUUUAGUAUUGGCAGAGGGUUAGCACUUAAAUUGUAUUCAAAGAGAUCAUGCAGAUGUAGGAUGUUCAAUGUGUUGUUGCAGAAAUAAUUGGCAGGGGUUAGCACUGAAAUUGUUUCUAGAGAGAUGAUGCAGAUGUAGGAUGUUCAGUGUGUUGUAGAAAUAAUUGGCAGAAGGUUGGCAUUUAAAUUGUAUCAUAAAGAUGCUGCAUAUAUAGGAUGUUCAAUGUGUUGUUGUAGAUACAGUUUGCAAAAGGUUAGUUUAUAGAUAUAUUUUCUCUAUUCAGUGUUAUUCAAUUUAAAAAUUAUGUUUAAAUUGUUGUAUUACUUAGUUUA